CGUAGGGUGCGAGCGUUAAUCGGAAUUACUGGGCGUAAAGCGUGCGCAGGCGGUUAUAUAAGACAGAUGUGAAAUCCCCGGGCUCAACCUGGGAACUGCAUUUGUGACUGUAUAGCUAGAGUACGGCAGAGGGGGAUGGAAUUCCGCGUGUAGCAGUGAAAUGCGUAGAUAUGCGGAGGAACACCGAUGGCGAAGGCAAUCCCCUGGGCCUGUACUGACGCUCAUGCACGAAAGCGUGGGGAGCAAACAGGAUUAGAUACCCUGGUAGUCCACGCCCUAAACGAUGUCAACUGGUUGUUGGGUCUUCACUGACUCAGUAACGGAGCUAACGCGUGAAGUUGACCGCCUGGGGAGUACGGCCGCAAGGUUG
rnacentral:rRNA from 1 species